rnacentral:rRNA from 1 species
GUGUCAGCCGCCGCGGUAAGACGAACCGUGCGAACGUUAUUCGGAAUCACUGGGCUUAAAGCGCGUGUAGGCGGGGCGGUGCGUCGGUCGUUGAAAUCCCCCGGCUCAACCGGGGAAGUGGCGCCGAUACGACCGCCCUGGAGCGACGUAGGGGGAACUGGAACUUCCGGUGGAGCGGUGAAAUGCGUUGAGAUCGGAAGGAACGCCCGUGGCGAAAGCGAGUUCCUGGACGUCGGCUGACGCUGAGACGCGAAAGCCAGGGGAGCGAACGGGAUUAGAUACCCCCGUAGUCC